rnacentral:rRNA from 1 species
CCCAGACUCCUACGGGAGGCAGCAGUGAGGAAUAUUGGUCAAUGGGCUUACGCCUGAACCAGCCAAGUCGCGUGAGGGAAGACGGCCCUACGGGUUGUAAACCUCUUUUGUCGGGGAGCAAAGCGAACCACGUGUGGCUCAUUGAGAGUACCCGAAGAAAAAGCAUCGGCUAACUCCGUGCCAGCAGCCGCGGUAAUACGGAGGAUGCGAGCGUUAUCCGGAUUUAUUGGGUUUAAAGGGUGCGUAGGCGGAAUGCCAAGUCAGCGGUAAAAGCGCGGGGCUCAACCUCGCUCCGCCGUUGAAACUGGCGUUCUUGAGUGAGCGAGAAGUAUGCGGAAUGCGCGGUGUAGCGGUGAAAUGCAUAGAUAUCGCGCAGAACUCCGAUUGCGAAGGCAGCAUGCCGGCUCCACACUGACGCUGAGGCACGAAAGCGUGGGUAUCGAACAGGAUUAGAUACCCUUGUAA